UGGGGAAUAUUGCGCAAUGGGCGGAAGCCUGACGCAGCGACGCCGCGUGGGGGAUGACGGCCUUCGGGUUGUAAACCUCUUUCAGCAGGGACGAAGUUGACGUGUACCUGCAGAAGAAGCGCCGGCUAACUACGUGCCAGCAGCCGCGGUAAUACGUAGGGCGCAAGCGUUGUCCGGAAUUAUUGGGCGUAAAGAGCUCGUAGGUGGCUGGUCGCGUCUGCCGUGAAAGCCCGCAGCUUAACUGCGGGUCUGCGGUGGAUACGGGCCGGCUAGAGGUAGGCAGGGGCAAGUGGAAUUCCUGGUGUAGCGGUGAAAUGCGCAGAUAUCAGGAGGAACACCGGUGGCGAAGGCGGCUUGCUGGGCCUUACCUGACGCUGAGGAGCGAAAGCGUGGGGAGCGAACAGG
rnacentral:rRNA from 1 species